rnacentral:lncRNA from 1 species
GGGCCUACAGUUGGGACCUACGAGGCCUGGGCUGAACCUUCGCCCUUGUCUGUAAUACAAAAUGCUAUCAAAAUCAAAUGCAUGAUUUCAUAAAUUUUCAAUUCAGGGCCAAGUUCAACCCUGCUUCAGCUAGCAGAGUUAAAUUUCAACCCCAUGCAGGUUGGACUUCGCCUUGGGUUGAAAAUUUUAUCAUGUAAUCGUUUCAACCCAGGGCUGAAAUUAUUCAUGAGUUACUCAAGCAUUUGAUGAGGCUGGUUUUUGUUUUCACUUCUAGGAAUGUAUAGUAUUUCAACCCUGGGGAUGAGAUUGUCCAUGUAAUCGCAAAAUAUUCAACCCAGUUAUGUAAACAUGGUUGAGUUCAAACCUGUGGUUAAAAGUGCUCCAUGUAAUCGUCCCCUUAGUGUGGUGUGAUCUGCCUACUGUGAGGCAGGGCUGUACUGAAUGGUGGCAGAUUACCAUAAUCAAAUCACUUCUAUUUCGACCAGCCAAGAAGGUUUAAUUAAAAACAAUAUACAAUAAUUAUUGUAUAAUAUAUGAUAAAAUUAUUGAAUUAUGGAAACAGUGUUCUGAACUUCUGACAAUCUUUAACAAUUAAGAAGUUUAUCAAGUUUUAUAUGUUAUCGCAUCCCCUUUCUCAAUCACUCAAUGCCUUUUCGUUGACUGCCUUUCAUUAAUUAAUGCUAUACUUUAAAGAUGCGGUACAGUCCGUAUGUAAACAAAGGCUUUGUUUACAUUUCGGUAUCCAAAAUAUUGAAUUUUAUUUCACAACUAGUUAUAUUUUCAUGAUUCUAGAAAUUAUCAAGAGACAACAAUCAAGCUUUGCAAGAACAUAAAAUGAAAUAAAAACCUAAAUAAACUGUUUGUAAAUAAAAAGAGGGCUCCUUUGUGCACAUGCACAGAUUGGACUGUACCGCAUCUUUAAUAGUAAUAAAGUCUCUGGUGUAGGAAAAUGCUCCGACUGUUAAAUAAAGUUUAACUAUAUUUUCCGUACAGUUUCUGUGCAGAGCUCGAGGGUUGAACUUCACGAAAAAUCACAGCAUUUUCCAACAAUGCCGACAUUUUGCUGGUGUAGUGUUUUAUAAAAAUCCGAUCAAAUAUGCUCAGGAAUAUAUUUGCUACUUUAUAGUUCUCACAAUUUUAUAGCUGCUCACACAAACGAGGAAUCAAGCCGUAUAAAAACAUUCUAAAAGUUUAUCUUGAUUGUUCCUUGGACAGAAUGUUGUGUAAAGUGGCCAUGCAAAGCAUCGAACAAAGCAUCAGUGGAGGAAACAGUAGCCAAACUGACCUGAAUCGAUGUAAUAUAAUCAAACCACGUCCUCUAAUAGUCAACGCAGCACGAGUUUUGUCUCUCCCUUUUAUAGACUUGCACACUAAUAUCUCUCACUGACUAAAAGGAAAAACCCUCUCGCCAUCAAUUUCUUGUAUAGCUUCGGUGAAUUCAGCGUCUGUUUCGUCUAACUGUAUUCCCGUUAGAGCAACAGACACAUCAACGUUGUAUAAAUCCUCUGCGGUUGCAUCGUCUUGCGAUAAAUGUCUUCGUCCUCUUAUGCCUCGAUCAUAAACUGUUCACGACGCUCGCUUUCUUCGAUAUUUUCAUCUCCAACGUUCAAAAUAGGUUCGUAUGUUUGUUGGCUUUCUGUUUCAAUUUCCACCUUGAUCUCAGAAGCCCUAUAGCGUUUUGAAAUAUGAUCUUUUGUUGGCAUAUUAUGUUCUCGCCCAUAUGUUUUCCUAAUCACUCAUCACAAAGCACCCCCUUUCCUCGUCACGUGACACAAAUAAAAGUGGUUCUCGACAUAAUUUGCCGCUUCCUUUGAAGUUUGCCGGCUAGCCUAACCAUCUAAUUCUAUUAACCGUG